GCUAGGAUAGCAAAGCGGUUAAUGCAAGAAACCUAAGAUUUCUUUAUCGGGGGUUCGAGUCCUCUUCUUAGUU
rnacentral:tRNA from 1 species